AUUGAACGCUGGCGGCAGGCUUAACACAUGCAAGUCGAGCGGGGUGAUGGUGCUUGCACUAUCACUUAGCGGCGGACGGGUGAGUAAUGCUUAGGAAUCUGCCUAUUAGUGGGGGACAACAUCUCGAAAGGGAUGCUAAUACCGCAUACGUCCUACGGGAGAAAGCAGGGGAUCACUUGUGACCUUGCGCUAAUAGAUGAGCCUAAGUCGGAUUAGCUAGUUGGUGGGGUAAAGGCCUACCAAGGCGACGAUCUGUAGCGGGUCUGAGAGGAUGAUCCGCCACACUGGGACUGGGAUACGGCCCAGACUCCUACGGGAGGCAGCAGUGGGGAAUAUUGGACAAUGGGGGGAACCCUGAUCCAGCCAUGCCGCGUGUGUGAAGAAGGCCUUAUGGUUGUAAAGCACUUUAAGCGAGGAGGAGGCUCUUUUGGUUAAUACCCAAGAUGAGUGGACGUUACUCGCAGAAUAAGCACCGGCUAACUCUGUGCCAGCCGCCGCGGGUAA
rnacentral:rRNA from 1 species